rnacentral:misc_RNA from 1 species
CAAUGUUCCCUAAUAUGACAUGCCUAUUCUAUUGAUAAAUUACUAUAAAUAAAGGGUCAAUCCUCACAACAAAUGAAUGAAACACAAUGCCGCAUUUACCAAAACAGCUUGCAGUUAAACAUUAUGACAUGGAUAACUAUUGACACUCACCAAUCACCAUAAACCAAAGCUCAGUUAUCAUUCAUGCAAUUAAUUAUCGCAGUGAACCAAAAACCUUAAUCUUUUUCUUGAUUUAUUUUUACAGCAUGGAGUAAUAGAUGUUAGGAAAGACUGAAAAUAUAACCAAAUGAAACGAUUUCAGGCCUUUAGAUAUGUUCAAAACACUUAAUUCAGUCACCAAAAGAUAAAAUCAAAAUCCAAAUCCAAAUAUCUAAUAGUAU